ACUGUUUCGCAUGAGACGGUUCCUCAAAAAACAUAAUAUCGUGUAUGAGCUAAACUAAAACUUAGGGUUUUACAUGGUUUUAUGUUUUCCAGUGGAUCUGGUUAGAGCUAUGUCACGCUAAAUGGUGUUCUUUGCUUUUUUUCUUACAAUACCUUUCAAUAGAACACUGUUUCGCAUGAGACGGUUCCUCAAAAAACAUAAUAUCGUGUAUGAGCUAAACUAAAACUUAGGUUUUAUAUGGUUUUAUGUUUUCCAGUGGAUCUGGUUAGAGCUAUGUCACGCUAAAUGGUGUUUUUUGCAUUUCUUCUUACAAUACCUUUCAAUAGAACACUGUUUCGCAUGAGACGGUUCCUCAAAAAACAUAAUAUCGUGUAUGAGCUAAACAAAAACUUAGGGUUUUACAUGGUUUUAUGUUUUCCAGUGGAUCUGGUUAGAGCUAUGUCACGUUAAAUGGUGUUUUUGCAUUUCUUUUUACAAUACCUUUCAAUAGAACACUGUUUCGCAUGAGACGGUUCCUCAAAAAACAUAAUAUCGUGUAUGAGCUAAACUAAAACUUAGGGUUUUACAUGGUUUUAUGUUUUCCAGUGGAUCUGGUUAGAGCUAUGUCACGCUAAAUGGUGUUCUUUGCUUUUUUUCUUACAAUACCUUUCAAUA